GGAAGUGGGGGUGUCUUUCCCAUGGCUAAUCUUCCCCCCCUUUCUGUAGUGGGUGACGGAUGGCAUCAGCACUGACUGCUCGCUGCUGCUUGCUCCAUGGGCAUCUUCCAGCAGCUCACAAGAGGACUGCCGUACAGAGAUGAGAGCUAGGCACCAAAAUAGAAAAUCAAUAGUAUGCAAGCAGUCUCCUCCCACAUACGCUUUUGAAAAUCUCCCCCGCAACCUUUUACAUCAACACUAACCAGAUUUCACCUAUAAAUCUGCUGCAGUUAAUCUCCCUGAGUACCUCCGCAGCUCCUGCCUCUCAUCUCCAACUUAAGCUCCCUUAUGGACAGAUGUACAUAAACAACUUUCCUCCCCCCCCACCUCAAUCCUCCAUUGCUCCAAACCAACCCAUGGGACAGCUCUGGCAGGGCUGCCUCCACCCCACUUGUGCUCACUUGUGAAUAGUUUGAAGUGGGACAGCGGAGCAUUGCCCCUACCUGGCUUUCACAGAGCCCUUUGUGAGCAGCAGCCAGGCAGAGCUUGGGCCCCAGUUCAGGAGCUGCUGUGGGCACUGCUGCCUUCCCUGCACAGCGCUGGCACAUGUCGGCACGGCUGCACAGCAGGGCUGGAUGUUCCACCCUUGGCUGUCUUUAGCAAUGUCUUCAAGUGAUUGUUUGAGAGCUGCCUGCUGCCACAUCAAAGCAGCAGCCCAGACAAAGCACAUUCAGGCUGGGAGCUGGGGUGGAAAGAGGGAAAUCUGCAGCAGAGCACUCAUGCGGGGCGGUCUUUCUUGUGCUUCAAUGAGAGUGAAGGGCAUGUGGGAGACCUGCUGGCAGAAGGGAAAUUUUAUAGGUGUGAUCCUGGCCAGACAGAAAAGCAGUCCCAUCCUAGAAUGCUGCUAGCUGCUGUUUCCUUCUUAUUCUCCUUUUUUUCUCUUUUGAUUGCCAAACUGUUUUAGCAAAUACUGGUAGGAGGUGUUGGGAGGAAUACUGAGACUAGAACCACAGCAAGAAGAGUUAAUAGAAGAGCUGAAGCUAACUGUGUUGGCUCUUUCAUGAUGAGUAAGCUAAAAAUCAUCCAGAAAACUAAUCUCCAUUUCAGAUCUUGUUUGAGAGAUUAAUUAUGGAAUAUUGUAGACAUAAUUAAACACACAAUCAAGGGCAAGUAGGCGCAGCCUUACACCAAAUAACAGAAAUGUAUAAAACAUGGUGCUGGAACAGGCUGUAUUUCUGUACUUAGAAAGCAAGAAACACCUACAGUCUCCUGCAUCUUUCAUGUAGAAUAAAACAGUAGUGGAAAGAGAAAAGCUCUCAUUAGGUUACCUUAUAAAAUCUACAGUAAAUAACAACUGGUGACCUUCUAUAGCCACAACUGCCAUGAGUUUAGUGGCUACAAAGAGUUUGCACGCUACUUAUUCAUAGGAUCAUAGAAUGGCCCAGGUUGGAAGGGACCUCAAGGAUCACCAAGCUUCAAUUCCCCCGCCACAGGCAGGGCCACCAACCUCCACAUUUAGUACUACACCAGGCUGCCCAGGGCCCCAUCCAACCUGGCCUCGAACAGCUCCAGGGACGGGGCACUUGCACAGCACUAUCAAUCUACAGAGCCUAAGUGACCACAAAAAACACGAAUUCAGCUUAUUGCUAAUCUGCUGAACAGUUAGAGAAACAGAAACCUGAGUACUGACGUGGUGCUCCUGUGUUCUCCCAGAAAAUUAGCAAAAAGAAAUUGAAAUAGAUCCAUAUAAAAAUCAGGAGUCUUGACAUUAGGUUGUUCUGUCCAGGUUUAAGGAUUUAAGGAAGUCACCUGCUAAACAUUCAAAACAAAACAGAAAAACCCAAACCAAACCAAAACAAAAAACCACUCCAGGGGAUGUGAAAUCAUGGACUGAAUUGAGAAAACUGCUUCCAGGCUGCUCUUGUCAGCAGGCAGCACUUGGGUUUGAGGUUGUGCUUUUCAUGGAGCUCUUACGAGCUCCUUGCCAACUCUCCAAGUGUUUGUCAGUUAGCAAAACUGGCAGAUUUCUAUUGUUUAAUUCUCUGAUGAUUUUGUCUGUCACAAACACAUCAGUUUGGCCCUCUGCACUCUGUGGUUACUCAAAUCACACGCGACUGCUGAAUCAAUUGUAGCCUCAGGCGUAGGACACACACAUAUCCAUGCCUGUCUGUGCAUACUACACACUGGCUAUUUAAUUUAAAGUGUUUUUGAUGCCCUUUUCUGCUCCAGAGGGAAAUGGGGAUGGUCCUUAGCAGUGUGGGCAUGGCAGUGCUCAGUUGUCCGUCGGUGCACAUUCCGGAGCAGCCUUGCUUGCAGAUCUCCUUGCUCCCAGUAUUUGAGUUGCUCAGUGCACCGGUGGGAUCUUCUCUGAACACAGCAUUGCACUGUCACCAUUUCAGCCUUUUCCUUGUCUUUCCAACACACCUGUUUAAUGUCUUCACCUUUCUUCUGACCCGGCCAUUAGUCACACUGUUGAUACACACCGGUUUGUUCCCCGCUCUUCAUCUGUUACUCCAUCUCUGUUUCUCACUAAUUUUCUUGCCUUGUUCUUUUUUUAUAACUGAUCCAUGUGGGGCACUGUGUUUUAUGCUGUGCUCCCAGAGGUGGCUCCCAAAAACACCUGUCCUUUCCUGUUUCUUUUUUUCUGCUCCAAAACAAGAAAGAAAGGUCCCGGCUACUCCUGAGGACAAGAAUAUGAAGUAUCUGUUUGAAAGUAAUGUUGAAGGUAAUGCCUCAUCCACAGGUGUGGGGAAAAAAAGGAGUGUACAAAACCAAUGGUGUUACAUUCAACCUUUGAAGAGCAUCAAGGAUAACUCUGAUCUUACAGAGUGUGCCUUUCCCUCUGGGCAUUUUUAAAGGACACAGCUGAGAAAUGACCACAAGUAAGGGAGUGACCAGGAACAGAAAUCUGAUGAAGGGGUUUUACCAGGGGCUUCCUGUGGAGCUCAGCCACUUCCCACACCGCUCGAUUCCUCUCUUGACUGUGUUGCCUUUUAACAGCAGGAGGAAACUGUGAGAUAAUAAUCUGGAAGAACCAGAAGAUCAGUGACAGAUUCUCUUCUGGCAUAGAAUCUGUUGCUGUCGGCUGUGACAUGCAGCCCAAUGUGGGAUCUUGCCAGCUGUGCUAGAUGCCCCUUGGGAUGAGUUUCAUCCAUUUGACCAGAGAGCAGAAACAUCCCAGGUGAUGGGGCUUGACAGAGGCUUAAAGUGACCUCCUGCCUCCGAGGCUUCUCGGUGCCAUGCAGACGUAUGCAGCGUACACUGUGCAAUCUAUGGCUGAUGGAAGGAGCUGGAGUUGAGGAUUUCGUUUUACCAGCUAGCAUCUGAAGCACUCUAUUCAAGCAGUUCCCAGCGGGCAUGAAUCAAAGCAGUUACCAGCAGCCAGCCAAGGCAGCAGAACUUGGUCUGGCUCUGUCUCCCCCAUUUAUUGAUCCAUCACCUGUAAUACAAACCCCAGUUUUGAGACAUUACAGUUAUUUCUACCACAGAUCUCAGUUCUCCUCAACACUAUGAGACCCUGAAACUACCAUGUGGGAGAAGGCCAACUGCACACACCCUGAAUCAGAAAGGCUGCUGAUACGAUCAUGUAGAAAUGCGUAUUUCCUUUGAACUUCACACCACCUGCCUCACCAGAGCACACUGACACAGCUCUGGUUUGUCCUACACCCAUGUGCCUACGUGUGCACCCAUCUUUUAGGUUAUUGCUGGCAGCACCUGCUGAUGCUCAGAGCUGUUCUGCUCCUGCUGCUGCCUCUGUUUGGAGGAAGAAACAGAUGAAAACCUCCUCAUCUCUCACAGGCCAAGAGGAGGGGAAAAUCCCAACCCAACAAGGUAACAUUGGUUGGACUUGUGGCUGGUGUGUCUGCCACUUAAAGCACUGGAAGUGUCACUGACCAAACACACCUGCAGAGCACAGUGUCUGGAGCCCCACGGGAGGAGUGAUGGGAAUGGUUUUGGCAGUGUUUCCUUCCUUCUCAAAGCCAGGCAAGUCAGGAGCUGAACACCAGGAGCUGACUGUUGGCAGCUGGCACAGCAGGAGGGACAGACAGCAGAUGCAGAGGGACAGACUUCAGUCUGCAAGCUGCUGCCUCCCAGCCUCGCAAAGCUGGUUGGCUUGCUGGUGCGUGCUCUGAUGUGCUGCUGCUUCUUUCUCCUGCUGCUGCUCUCAUCCUGCGCCGAUACGGUGCCGUCAUGCUGCAGCUCCAAGGGAUGUAUGCAUAACUCCCUUGGGAAGUUUAUAACAGUACGUUCAAUAGGGGAAAUGAACUUCUGAAUGUGGAAAUAAAGUCUUCCAAGUUGAA